GAUGAACGCUGGCGGCGUGCCUAAUACAUGCAAGUCGAGCGCACAGCUGAGGAGCUUGCUCCUCUGACGUUAGCCGCGGACGGGUGAGUAACACGUGGAUACCCUACCUUUAAGACUGAGAUAACUUCGGGACACCGGCUCUUAUCCCGGAUAAUAUGUUGAUCCAUAUGGUUCAAUAGUGAAAUACGAUUUUGCUGUCACUUAUAGAUGCAUCCGAGCCGCAUUAGCUAGUUGGUAAGGUAACGGCUUACCAAGGCAACAAAGCGUAGCCGACCUGAGAGGGGGAUCGGCAAAACGGGAACUGAGACACGGUCAAGACUCCUACGGGAGGCAGCAGUAGGGAAUCUGCAGCAAUGAGCGAAAGCUUGACGGAGAAAAGCCGAGUGAGUGAUGAAGGUCUUCGGAUCGUAAGACUCUGUGAUUAGGGAAAAACAAAGGGGUAAGUAACUAUGCACGUCUUGACGGUACCUAAUCAGAAAGCCACGGCUAACUACGUG
rnacentral:rRNA from 1 species